rnacentral:lncRNA from 1 species
UACAUUCAUUACCUGUACAUUAUAGAUACGUAUGUUGUUAAUUUUAGACCUAUUGUGGACACAAUCUUGGAACACUUACACAGAUCUUUACAGAAGUGGAUGUGUCUGCUACCCCAUCCUGCAGCUGGGGAAUCAGGGGCGGAUAUUAUGCCAGUAUUCUGGAGAACUACUGGUUGAAGAUUUAAAAGCAAUGUUUUUCUUCUGAUCUUGGAUAACAAAGGCACCAUGGCUGUUCAGAUGGGAACAGCUGUUCCUAGCCUUUCAAAGUCUGAACUGUGCUCCUUUUUUUUCCUGGGAGGAAGAAUUAAAAAAGAUCCUGAUCGCUUCAUGGUAUUGACCACUCAAGGUUCUUAUUCCAAGGGGAGUAUUUUCUGCAUUUAGGAAAUGAGUACUGAAAGAUGUACUUAAUAACUUUAACAUCACAGUCUUUGCACACAGAAAUACGACAAGAAUUU